AAUCUUUUGUUUACAUUAUGCAUGACAGAGGAAUUUUUGUGUUCGGCGCAGAUAUAAUUCAUACAGAUUCACGUGACAAUGUAUCUUCCCUGCCCUUGGAGUUGUCUUGGAGAAUAUUCUCGUACUUAGACGGUACGGCAUUGAGAAAUGCGAGUUUUGCUUACAAAAAAUGGAAGCGGAUAAUAAUUUGUAACAAAAAAUUGAGAAGACGUCUGAACAGUUUCGAACUGUCCAUAGUUUUGGGAUCAAAGAGCCUUAUGAAGUUUCACAAGAAAAACAAAAAGAUUCUGAGGAGGGAAAGGAAGAAAAAUUAUCUGCCGAAGGGUGAAUGUAGUGCGCAGUCAAUGAAAAUCACAGUGGUGAAAUCAAAAAGAGGCGGGGAUGAUAUAUUUGUGCAUACUAAAAGAUUCAAAUUAUUUUAACAUACUUACCUACUCGUACCUGCUACUCGUAUAUUAAUUAUGUAGCAUUUAACCUGACAAUAUCACAAUAUCUGACUUAUGAGGACU